AACUCGACUGCACGAAGCUGGAAUCGCUAGUAAUCGCGGAUCAGCACGCCGCGGUGAAUACGUCCCCGGGCCUUGUACACACCGCCCGUCACACCAUGGAAGUCUGCAAUGCCCGAAGCCGGUGGCCUAACCACUUAUGUGGAAGGAGCCGUCUAAGGCAGGGCAGAUGACUGGGGUGAAGUCGUAACAAGGUAGC
rnacentral:rRNA from 1 species